rnacentral:rRNA from 1 species
UGCCCAGACUCCUACGGGAGGCAGCAGUGGGGAAUAUUGCACAAUGGGGGGAACCCUGAUGCAGCGACGCCGCGUGGGUGAAGGAGCACCUCGGUGCGUAAAGCCCUGUCAGCAGGGAAGAAAAUGACGGUACCUGAAGAAGAAGCCCCGGCUAACUACGUGCCAGCAGCCGCGGUAAUACGUAGGGGGCAAGCGUUAUCCGGAUUUACUGGGUGUAAAGGGGGCGCAGGCGGCGAUGCAAGCCAGGAGUGAAAGCCCGGGGCCCAACCCCGGGACUGCUCUUGGAACUGCGUGGCUAGAGUGCAGGAGGGGCAGGCGGAAUUCCUGGUGUAGCGGUGAAAUGCGUAGAUAUCAGGAGGAACACCGGUGGCGAAGGCGGCCUGCUGGACUGCAACUGACGUUGAGGCCCGAAAGCGUGGGGAGCAAACAGGAUUAGAUACCCUGGUACA